rnacentral:rRNA from 1 species
UGGGGGGUAUUGCACAAUGGGCGGAAGCCUGAUGCAGCGACGUCGCGUGAGGGAUGGAGGCCUUCGGGUUGUGAACCUCUUUCUCCGGUGGUGAAGGCCCUGUCCGUUGCGGCGGGGUUGACGGUAGCCGGGUAUGAAGCGCCGGCUAACUACGUGCCAGCAGCCGCGGUAAUACGUAGGGCGCGAGCGUUGUCCGGAAUUAUUGGGCGUGAAGGGCUUGUAGGCGGCCGGUCGCGUCCGCCGUGAAAUUCUCCGGCUCAACCGGGGGCUUGCGGUGGGUACGGGCCGGCUGGAGUGCGGUAGGGGAGGCUGGAACUCCUGGUGUAGCGGUGGAAUGCGCAGAUAUCAGGAGGAACACCGGUGGCGAAGGCGGGUCUCUGGGCCGUUACUGACGCUGAGGAGCGAAAGCGUGGGGAGCGAACAGGAUUAGAUACCCUGGUAGUCCACGCCGUAAACGUUGGGCACUAGGUGUGGGGCCCCGCUCGGCGGGGGUCCGCGCCGCAGCUAACGCAUUAAGUGCCCCGCCUGGGGAGUACGGCCGCAAGGCUA